AAUAGUAUAUUAACCGAUGUAGAAUCUUUUACGUAUGAUGUUUUCGGAUCCAUUUGUUUAUUACAAGAGGAAUCGGGAAGCCAUUAGAUACCUACACCAUGAUAAGGAAUAUUGAACAGAGUGCUUACAACACUAAAAGGUUUUCAUUGGCACGAUCAUGUACGAUUAAUGUAACAUUUGACGAUCUCGUCGACCAUAUGCCCGGUUUCGGUAGUAUUGUUUCACAAAGAAGAAAUCUGCAUCAAAAUUUAAGCGUGUGUAAUGUAAGUAAUUUCCAAACAUACCGGUCAAAAAUAAAUACCGAGUAUAAUUUAAAACGUGAUAUUAAUCAGUAAUAUAUUUUAUAGCUACGUAACACAUAGAUUAUCGAGUAUGCCUUCAAAUUCCCUAAUAACUAAUAAGUGAUGCUCGACACGUAUACAACGACAACAAAAUCCAAAUGGUAACGAAAACGUAAGUCUUAAAGUUUUGCGACAGAAUUUUUUUUUUUUUGUACAAAACUCGACGAUUACAUUAUCAUAAUUAAUAGUUUGGAGAAUCUCGAGACUUUAUGCGUGCAAAACAGCUAAUGAGUUUAAUCUUUCCACAUCUAUACGGUAGAACGAAGAUGUACAACUUUAUUCUUUGCAAUGCUUCAAUGUUUCUCUCUGCACAACAAUAUUCGUUGCGAAAGUUCAUAAAAACAUACGUAAUGCUGUUGUGACAUUUGUAUAAACAUUAAUGAGAUCAUUUGUGUGUAACGUUUUACAAAGUUUCCGAG